UACGAAGGGGGCUAGCGUUGUUCGGAUUUACUGGGCGUAAAGCGCACGUAGGCGGAUCGUUAAGUCGGGGGUGAAAUCCUGGAGCUCAACUCCAGAACUGCCUUCGAUACUGGCGAUCUUGAGUCCGGAAGAGGUGAGUGGAACUCCUAGUGUAGAGGUGGAAUUCGUAGAUAUUAGGAAGAACACCAGUGGCGGAAGGCGCUCACUGGUCCGGUACUGACGCUG
rnacentral:rRNA from 1 species